rnacentral:misc_RNA from 1 species
GUGAAUCAUCGAAUCUUUGAACGCACAUUGCACUCUCUGGUAUUCCGGAGAGUAUGCCUGUUUGAGGGUCAGUUUAAAUAAAAAUCGGUGUGGUUGCUGCCUUUCUUGGUGACGCACCGGGUUUGGAUCGUCUUGCCUUCGGUUAAGUGACGUCAAAUUUUUCAUGAUUUUUUUCGCACGUAUUUAAAUUAUUUUACGUUCGUUUGCGAUAUCAAUUAGUAGG